rnacentral:rRNA from 1 species
AUUGUACGCUGGCGGCAUGCCUUACACAUGCAAGUCGAACGGUAACUCGGGGCAACCUGGCGACGAGUGGCGAACGGGUGAGUAAUGCAUCGGAACGUGCCCAGUAGUGGGGGAUAGCCCGGCGAAAGCCCGAUUAAUACCGCAUACGACCUACGGGUGAAAGGGGGGGAUCGCAAGACCUCUCGGUAUUGGAGCGGCCGAUGUCAGACUAGGUAGUGGGUGGGGUAAAGGCCUACCAAGCGGACGAUCUGUAGCUUGUCUGGGAGGACGACCAGCCUAGAUGGGACUGAGAAAGGGCCCAGACUCCCACGGGAGGCAGCAGUGGGGAAUUAUGGACACUGGGCGCAAGCCUGAUCCAGCGAUUCCGCGUGAGUGAAGAAGGCCUUCGGGUCGGAAAGCUCAUUAGGUUGGGAAGAAGGGUAUUGGCUGAAUAAUCCAGUACUUUGACGGUACCGACAGAAUAAGCACCGGCAAACUCUGUGCCAGCAGCCGCAGUAAGAC